rnacentral:rRNA from 1 species
UACGGAGGGGGCGAGCGUUAUUCGGAAUUACUGGGCGUAAAGGGCUCGUAGGCGGCCAACUAAGUCGGACGUGAAAUCCCUCGGCUUAACCGGGGAACUGCGUCCGAUACUGGAUGGCUUGAGGUUGGGAGAGGGAUGCGGAAUUCCAGGUGUAGCGGUGAAAUGCGUAGAUAUCUGGAGGAACACCGGUGGCGAAGGCGGCAUCCUGGACCAAUUCUGACGCUGAGGAGCGAAAGCCAGGGGAGCAAACGGG